rnacentral:lncRNA from 1 species
UAAAUACUUAAUUAAAUGAAUGGAAAUAAACUAUAUUCAAAUUCAAUUUGCAUUUACACAUUCCAACUACUAACAUUUACUCCUCCCACAUUUGAACUACCAACAUUUACUCACCUCACAUUUCAACUACCAACAUUUACUCACCAACAUCUAUCCUUCGUCCAUUUACAUAAAUAUUCGAACUACUACUGACCUUUAUCCAUUUUCUUUUUGACACGCAUUUUACAAGCUUUCUGCCUAAUCAAGCUUCAUGCGUGAUCGACUACAGCAAAAAGGUAACCUUCAUGUAAUAAAAUAAAUUUAAAAUCUAUUUAUGAAUACUAUUAUGUUAAAAAGUUAUACAAAUGAUAUUCAAAUUUUUUGCAAUUCAAGCUUAAGUCUGUAGUGUCGAGUUCUCCUAUGAUAGUUUAAGGUAGCACACUAAAAUCAUGUUUUACAGUACAACAUGCCCAUAUUAAUUUCCUUUUUUUUUUUUACCUUAAGAAGACGUAGAAGUGUAGCACUCCGCGAUAAAACUGAUCUUCGCAUUUAAAAAAUACUCUCCAACUAUAUUCUAAAUAGGAUCUCAGAUACACUGAUGAUCUGAGUAAAUGAGAUUUAAACAAAAUUUAACAUUCCUUUUAAAAAAAUUAUUUUAAUCCCUUUUGGAUAUAAAAUUUAGGUUUUUCCAAUCUAUCACUUCAAAAAAAUAAAAAUUCAACAGAAUUAAUAUGAUGUAUUUUCUGAGAUCAACUAACACACCUAACGUGGAAAAUUUCAUUUGUCUAUUAAUACUAGAAAAUCUUCUUGUUUAACUAACUAAUUUUUUUACUUAACAUAAUCCUCAAUUACAUUAUACCAUUGUUUUUAUUUGCAUAAUUAACACAAUUAUUAGAAAGCUUUUGACAAGCAUACAUAUCUUCAUUUUAAUUUAUUAAGAUGAUACAUAUUAAUUAAUGACAAUUUUGUUUAAAAAUGAAAAUAAUGAACUCAAUCAAACUUCUCGUUUUUCUAUAUUUUAUACAUGUCUAUGGUUGAUAACUAUCAUUACUCAUCAUUAUUGACUUAUUCCAAUUUCAUAAAUUCUUGUAUAACAUUUUCUUCAAAUAUAUUGCGUAAUUAUUAAAGUUCACAAAUUUUAUUUAUUUAAACUGUAUAUUAAUCAUAGUGCAAAUUAUAUUGUUUCCAUCUAUAUAUUGUACUAUUAAGUUUCAAAUAUGAAAAUGUGAUAAAGUUUCAUAAAAUUGUAACUAGCUAUCCUUUCUAUCACAAUACAUAUACAAUUUCAGAUCAAUGACAAAAAACAAUGCUUCAAGUAGUAUAGAUAUAAUCUUAAAUUUAUUUUUAAUAAAGUUGUAGUAUGUAGCUUCUAAAAAAUUAUGUUAGAUUAGUAUAUGAAUAAAUUUGUUGACUAAUGAAUAGUUUUUUUAAUAAUUUUUGGAGAUGUCGUUAGAAUACAUAUUAUCUCUAAAUCAAUGAUUUUUUGCUACGAUUACUCAAUUUGCAAAUCAUCAAUAUUUUAAAGAUUUUGUAGAACUUAUAGAUGCAGACGAUCAAGCUUAUUUAUUGUGCAGUCCAUUCCAUGGAUUCAUUUGCAGAAGUAUGUAUAAAAAGAAAAAUGAAAAAUUUAGCAGCAAAUUAAUACAUGAGUUCAUAAUGAGACUUAUAAACUGCGGUAAAAAUAACGAAGUUUGGGUACAAUUACACGAUCAUGUAGCCCGUUUUGGCCUGCAAGAAUUUUGUCUAAUCACUGGAUUACCAUGCCAUGAAGUUAUUGUUAAUCUCAAUUUUAGUAAUACUCGACUUAGGGAUGAAUACUUCAAUGGUUCAAGGAGAAUUACUAUGAUAAGACUUUCUGAAGUAUUUUAUAUGUGUCGAGAUCGAGAAGAUAAAUUUAAGUUGGGAUUAGUUAUGUUCGUCGAAUGCGUUUUAAAACCAACUGGAAGACACAUCGAUUUCAGAACUCUUGGAAUACUUGAACAACUUGAUGAGUUCCUUAUGUAUCUAUGGGGACGUAAGACAUACUUUGUUUUAUUAAAUUCAUUACAAGAAUCACAGUUUGAAAGAGUACGAAGAAUACAACAAAAUGACCAAAUAGACUGUAAAUAUUCGUUGCAUGGUUAUCCCCUUGCAUUCCAGGUAUUUUUCUUUCAUUUUUUCACCAUUACAUAUAAUUUAAUCAUAUAAAAACUUUAAUAUUUCUUUUUACUUAUAUUUCAGCAUUGGAUAUAUGAAACUUUUCCUCAAAUUGGACAACAAUUCGGCCAUCGUAUCCGUACAAGCUUAAAAUGUCCACGAAUACAUAAAUGACAGCCUCAAAUAGUAUUAACGGAACAUGUUAUUAGACAAUUUUUGGCUGCUCAAGAGGUAUGU